ACGCAAUUGCCUCUCAAUCUCCUUGAAUCACCAUCAUCCUCUCACAAGAGGAGAAGAAAAGGUCUAUCAGAGAGAUGGAUUGAAGAGGGGCAGGACUGGAAACUGGGACCACAAUCAGGAGACCUUCACAACAACACAAGAGAGAGAAAGAGGUAAUGAGAGUCCUAACUAAGCACCUUGGCCAAGUGAGAAAAUCUGUGCCUUUGUUGUCUGCCAAGUCCUUAUAUACAUCAAGAAGAGUCCUCUCAAUUUUUAGCUUUAGCAACAUCUUCAUCAUGAAGAGUGGAUUUGACAAGAGCAUACAGGGGCUUCUGUAGUUUCCUAGAAUAACAGCUUUAGAACUGGAAUGGAUCUAAGGAGUCAUCUGAACCAACCUCAUCAUUUCACAGAUGAACUGAGGAGAAUUUCUCAGAUGGCCAGCCGAGGCAUGAAGAGGAACCUCUUAUUUCUUUGAAUAAAGGCCCAAAGUCACCCAUGUUAAGAGUCACAA